rnacentral:lncRNA from 1 species
UGAUAGAGAAAUGUUUGGUUUAUAAUAAAAUUAGUGUGAGGUGUGUAUGAGUUUUGUUCAGAUUUGCUUUCUGUUAGGGGCUCUGUCAUGAAGCAGCUCCAGGAAGAUGAAAAGCCAAGUGUGGCCUAGUUUAUUGAGUGAAACACACAGCUGUGAAACAAAGCCUGAGGAUGUGGAGGUGAAAGUGAGAAGCUGUGAAGCGAGCUUCCAGGUGCUCAAGUUCAGCCCUGACUCUGAGACGGAGGCUGUCUAUUGCAGCUUCCAAAGUCCUGGGGAAAGAGACCUGGAGAGCCAUUGCUGGCCGUGAUGGAUUUGUCAAGUCUUGGAUAUUGAUAUCUUGAGUUUCUCUGGUGAUUGGUGGGAAUAGAGAGAAGAAAACAGUUAUUUGGGAUGCAAACACAUAAAGGUAAUAUAGUAUAAAGAGAAAAACUGGACUGAGAACAUAAGACAGAUAAGUGACUCUUGGGAACAAGAAUAUAGGUGUGGGAGUCAAUAUAGAUGUUGAUACUCUGAGGACCUAAAUAGCUUGGAAGCUGUUUUCAUACUCCUGGAGCCUUGUGAGAAUGGGAGCCAUGGCAUUCCAUCAUCAGCUGAGGUCUAAGAGCAGAGCAGCUGAGAAAUUGUGGCAUUGAAGUAAUGAGGGAGCUGGGGAAGAAGAACCCCUUCUCCUGGCUUCUGAUCUCCUAGUCAUGCCUCCCAUUUGAAGCCAGAGGGCAAAUGGGCUGAGGUAACAGAGCCUGUAGAGUUCAUCCCUUUGGGCCACAGAAAACUGAAGAGAAAAGUGGAGGAUGAACGUUGUGGAAGAGGUUCAUACAGAUCACCAGAGAAGAAUUUUUAGUGCUUGCUACUUACAAGUGCUUCAAGUUUUAAGUGAGAUUUUCUAUGUUGAAGUUUUUUGUAAACAAUGACAACUCUAGGACAGUCAGAUGAGAUUCUAAUACAUUUAACUAGGGUAUAAACCUCUCCACUAUAUCAAAGAACAGCUGGAGGGACUGUUCUUUCACUUCUCCAAAGACUGUGUUAUAACCUUUCCCAUUCUUUUCUUCUUCAAGAGUGCACUUGAGAUUUAUUCUGAACACAUUUUAACUGUAAAAAAAUAUUGAGCAUGGGAAGGGAACAGCUUACGCUAUGAUUUGUCCUAGCAAUCACACCUCCAUCCUAGCCUAGGCAUGACCCUAAUUAUAAAUAGGUAUUAUCACAAAAUAUCUAUCACCAGCUAUAUUACAUUUUCUUUCUCUGGUGCCUCCUGAAAAUACAUUUCACAAUGAAAUAAGUUCAUGAUAUGUUAUUUAUCAUCAUUUUAUUUCUGCUCUGAAUUUUGCUCAGCUUAAUAAAGGUUUGUGUUUUAUGAAAGCA